rnacentral:lncRNA from 1 species
UUGUGCCGUGAGGUAGGAAAUGGACUGCAACUGGUUUAUCUGUGGGCAGGCAACCCCAUCUGUACCCCGAUCCCAGAUUUGACCUGGGAAAGCGCCGAGCUUCCACGGCCCCGAGCCCGGGCUCUGCCCUUCACCUCGCCGUGGCCCUGCGCUGAGGGGCCGAGCUGUCCCGCACGGCGGGUGCGGUGCUGCCAGCCUGUUCGCUUCUGCUCCGCUCGCUCCGGGGUUACCGUGCUCCUGCCAGCCCCGUGCCUGCGCCUGGCGCCGUUAGCUGCGGUGGGGUGGGGUGGGGUGGGGCUCCUGCCCCCGCCGGGAGAGGAGCGCUCCUGGCAGGCGUUUGUCCUUCCCGCCCAGCGGGGAGGGCGGCCAGAAGCGGCGGCUGCGGCCCCCUGCAGCAUUUGCCCCCUCCCCGCCGGCACGGGAGCGCCCGCGGCAGGUGCGGGGCCGCAGAGGGGCGGCGGCGGCGCUGGGCUCCCCGCGGGGCGCCUCAGCCGCUGCCUGAGGAGCGCCUCAGCCGCUCGCGCGCCGCCGGCCGUUGGCAACGGUCGCGCCGCGAGGGNNNNNNNNNNNNNNNNNNNNNNNNNNNNNNCCGGCGCCCAGGCACAGCAGGGAGCGGCGAGGGGCGCGAUGGAGGCUCCGCGCCUGGCGCCCACCAUGAGCGGCCCCGGCAGCCCCUGCGAGGAGGUGCUGAAGAACCUGAGCCUGGAGGCCAUCCAGCUCUGCGAGAGGGACGGUAAGGCCGCGCCGCGCCGCGCCGCCCUUUGUCCGCCGCCGGCGAGAACAAAAGGCGGGGGCCGGGCGGGUCAGCACCGCGGACAGCGGCGGGCGGCCCGCGGGGGGCAGCGCGGCUUCCCGGCCGGGGGGCAGCCGCCGCUGGCCUGCCGGGACACGGCCGCGCCCGGCUCUCGGCCGGCCCAAAGAACUUCGGGGCUGCGUGGCCGCGGCGUGCUCCGGGCGGGCGGCGGGUGGCAGCAGGUGCGCCUGGCGGGGAAUGGCGGUCCCGUGCGAGUGCGUGGCACGGCGGCCUUAAUGCAACUAUUGCCUCGCCGCGGCUGGAUUUCAGAGCCUGUCAUGGGUGGUGUGUGCAGGAACAGGCAGCCAGCGUCCUCAGCCUUUUUUUUCCUUUUUUCCACAAAUUAG